GGAGGGAUAGCUCAGUUGGUAGAGCAUGAGACUAUUAAUCUCAACAUCGUGGGUUCGAGGCCCACACUGGCCA